rnacentral:rRNA from 1 species
UACGAAGGGGGCUAGCGUUGCUCGGAAUCACUGGGCGUAAAGCGCACGUAGGCGGGUCUUUAAGUCAGGGGUGAAAUCCUGGAGCUCAACUCCAGAACUGCCUUUGAUACUGAGGAUCUUGAGUACGGGAGAGGUGAGUGGAACUGCGAGUGUAGAGGUGAAAUUCGUAGAUAUUCGCAAGAACACCAGUGGCGAAGGCGGCUCACUGGCCCGUUACUGACGCUGAGGCACGAAAGCGUGGGGAGCAAAACAGG